rnacentral:sRNA from 1 species
UAGUGGCUGGAGCCUCUACGGUGGCUGG